rnacentral:rRNA from 1 species
AUACGGAGGGUGCAAGCGUUAAUCGGAAUCACUGGGCGUAAAGCGCGCGCAGGCGGGCUGAUAAGUUGGAUGUGAAAGCCUACGGCUCAACCGUAGAACUGCAUCCAAAACUGUCAGUCUAGAGUGUGGGAGAGGAAGAUGGAAUUAGUUGUGUAGGGGUAAAAUCCGUAGAGAUAACUAGGAAUACCAAAAGCGAAGGCAAUCUUCUGGAACACUACUGACGCUGAGGCGCGAAAGCGUGGGGAGCAAACAGGAUUAGAAACCCCUGUAGUCC